UACGUAGGGUGCGAGCGUUGUCCGGAUUUAUUGGGCGUAAAGAGCGUGUAGGCGGCCAUACAGGUCAGCUGUGAAAACUCGAGGCUCAACCUCGAGACGUCGGUUGAAACCGUAUGGCUAGAGUCCGGAAGAGGAGAGUGGAAUUCCCGGUGUAGCGGUGAAAUGCGCAGAUAUCGGGAAGAACACCCGUGGCGAAGGCGGCUCUCUGGGACGGUACUGACGCUGAGACGCGAAAGCGUGGGGAGCGAACAGG
rnacentral:rRNA from 1 species